CUACGGGUUGCUGCAGUGGGGAAUAUUGGACAAUGGGGGAAACCCUGAUCCAGCAAUGCCGCGUGUGUGAAGAAGGCCUGCGGGUUGUAAAGCACUUUCGGUUGGGAGGACUGCUUCUAGCACUAAUAUUGUUGGAAGUUGACGUUACCUUCAGAAGAAGCACCGGCUAACUCCGUGCCAGCAGCCGCGGUAAUACGGAGGGUGCAAGAGUUAAUCGGAAUUACUGGGCGUAAAGCGCGCGUAGGCGGCUAGAUCAGUCGGGUGUGAAAGCCCCGGGCUUAACUGGGAACUGCAUCCCGAACUGGCUAGCUUGAGUACAGGAGAGGAGAGUGGAAUUCCACAUGUAGCGGUGACAUGCGUAGAUAUGUGGAGGAACACCAAUGGCGAAGGCAGCUCUCUGGCCUGAUACUGACGCUGAGGUGCGAAAGCGUGGGGAGCAAACAGGAUUAGAUACCCUAGUAGUC
rnacentral:rRNA from 1 species